UGCAGUCGAACGGUAACAGGUCUUCGGAUGCUGACGAGUGGCGAACGGGUGACUACGCAUCGGAACGUGUCCAGUAGUGGGGGAUAGCCCGGCGAAAGCCGGAUUAAUACCGCAUACAACCUACGGGUAAAAGGGGGGGAUCGCAAGACCUCUCGCUAUUGGAGCGGCCGAUGUCAGAUUAGGUAGUUGGUGGGGUAAAGGCCCACCAAGCCGACGAUCUGUAGCUGGUCUGAGAGGACGACCAGCCACACUGGGACUGAGACACGGCCCAGACUCCUACGGGAGGCAGCAGUGGGGAAUUUUGGACAAUGGACGAAAGUCUGAUCCAGCCAUGCCGCGUGCGGGAAGAAGGCCUUCGGGUUGUAAACCGCUUUUGUCAGGGAAGAAAAGCCGCAUGCUAAUACCGUGCGGUCAUGACGGUACCUGAAGAAUAAGCACCGGCUAACUACGUGCCAGCAGCCGCGGUAAUACGUAGGGUGCAAGCGUUAAUCGGAAUUACUGGGCGUAAAGCGUGCGCAGGCGGCUUUGCAAGACAGAUGUGAAAUCCCCGGGCUCAACCUGGGAACUGCAUUUGUGACUGCAAGGCUAGAGUACGGUAGAGGGGAGUGGAAUUCCGCGUGUAGCAGUGAAAUGCGUAGAUAUGCGGAGGAACACCGAUGGCGAAGGCAGCUCCCUGGACCUGUACUGACGCUCAUGCACGAAAG
rnacentral:rRNA from 1 species